rnacentral:rRNA from 1 species
GAUUAUGGCUCAGGAUGAACGCUGGCGGCGUGCCUAACACAUGCAAGUCGAACGAAGCAUAUCAACGGAGAUUCGUCGAAGCUGGAUAUGACUUAGUGGCGGACGGGUGAGUAAUGUAUGAGCAACCUGCCUUUCAGAGGGGGACAACAGUUGGAAACGACUGCUAAUACCGCAUAACGUAUUUGGGUGGCAUCACCUGGAUACCAAAGGAGCAAUCCGCUGAAAGAUGGGCUCAUAUCUGAUUAGCUUGUUGGCGGGGUAACGGCCCACCAAGGCGACGAUCAGUAGCCGGACUGAGAGGUUGAACGGCCACAUUGGGACUGAGAUACGGCCCAGACUCCUACGGGAGGCAGCAGUGGGGAAUAUUGGGCAAUGGGCGAAAGCCUGAACCCCAGCAACGCCGCGUGAAGGAAGAAGGUCUUCGGAUUGUAACUUCUUUAUGAGGGACGAAGGACGUGACGGUACCUCAUGAAUAAGCCACGGCUAACUACGUGCCAGCCGCAGC